UACGUAGGGCGCGAGCGUUGUCCGGAUUUAUUGGGCGUAAAGAGCUCGUAGGCGGCUUGUCGCGUCGAAUGUGAAAUCUCAGGGCUCAACUCUGACAUUGCAUUCGAUACGGGCAGGCUCGAGUUCGGUAGGGGAGACUGGAAUUCCUGGUGUAGCGGUGAAAUGCGCAGAUAUCAGGAGGAACACCGAUGGCGAAGGCAGGUCUCUGGGCCACUACUGACGCUGAGAAGCGAAAGCAUGGGGAGCGAACAGG
rnacentral:rRNA from 1 species